AUAAGGAGCUUGCUCCUUUGACGUUAGCGGCGGACGGGUGAGUAACACGUGGGUAACCUACCUAUAAGACUGGAAUAACUCCGGGAAACCGGGGCUAAUGCCGGAUAAUAUUUAGAACCGCAUGGUUCUAAAGUGAAAGAUGGUUUUACUAUCACUUAUAGAUGGACCCGCGCCGUAUUAGCUAGUUGGUGGGGUAAUGGCUUACCAAGGCAACGAUACGUAGCCGACCUGAGAGGGUGAUCGGCCACACUGGAACUGAGACACGGUCCAGACUCCUACGGGAGGCAGCAGUAGGGAAUCUUCCGCAAUGGGCGAAAGCCUGACGGAGCAACGCCGCGUGAGUGAUGAAGGUCUUCGGAUCGUAAAACUCUGUUAUUAGGGAAGAACAAAUGUGUAAGUAACUGUGCACGUCUUGACGGUACCUAAUCAGAAAGCCACGGCUAACUACGUGCCAGCAGCCGCGGUAAUACGUAGGUGGCAAGCGUUAUCCGGAAUUAUUGGGCGUAAAGCGCGCGUAGGCGGUUUCUUAAGUCUGAUGUGAAAGCCCACGGCUCAACCGUGGAGGGUCAUUGGAAACUGGGAAACUUGAGUGCAGAAGAGGAAAGUGGAAUUCCAUGUGUAGCGGUGAAAUGCGCAGAGAUAUGGAGGAACACCAGUGGCGAAGGCGACUUUCUGGUCUGUAACUGACGCUGAUGUGCGAAAGCGUGGGGAUCAAACAGGAUUAGAUACCCUGGUAGUCCACGCCGUAAACGAUGAGUGCUAAGUGUUAGGGGGUUUCCGCCCCUUAGUGCUGCAGCU
rnacentral:rRNA from 1 species